rnacentral:rRNA from 1 species
UGAAGCGGCAACAGCUCAAAUUUGAAAUCUGGCUUCGGCCCGAGUUGUAAUUUGUAGAGGAAGCUUUUGGUGAGGCACCUUCUGAGUCCCCUGGAACGGGGCGCCAUAGAGGGUGAGAGCCCCGUAUAGUCGGAUGCCGAUCCAAUGUAAAGCUCCUUCGACGAGUCGAGUAGUUUGGGAAUGCUGCUCAAAAUGGGAGGUAAAUUUCUUCUAAAGCUAAAUACCGGCCAGAGACCGAUAGCGCACAAGUAGAGUGAUCGAAAGAUGAAAAGCAACUUUGAAAAGAGGGUUAAAUAGCACGUGAAAUUGUUGAAAGGGAAGCGUUUGUGACCAGGACUUGCGCCGUUCCGAUCAUCCAGGUGUUCUCACCGGUGCACUCGGGACGGCACAGGCCAGCAUCGGUUUUGACGGGGGGACAAAGGCCCUGGGAACGUAGCUCCUCCGGGAGUGUUAUAGCCCAGGGCGUAAUGCCCUCGCCGGGACCGAGGUUCGCGCAUU